AACCUAGCACACCUGCGGUGUGUACCUGCGGAGGGAUCAUUACACAAUAAACAUAUGAAGGCUGCACCGCCAACAGGCGGCAAGGCUGGAGUAUUUUAUUACCCUUGUCUUUUGCGCACUUGUUGUUUCCUGGGCGGGUUCGCCCGCCUCCAGGACCACAUGAUAAACCUUUUUUAUGCAGUUGCAAUCAGCGUCAGUACAACAAAUGUAAAUCAUUUACAACUUUCAACAAUGGAUCUC
rnacentral:misc_RNA from 1 species